GAUGAACGCUGGCGGCGUGCCUAAUACAUGCAAGUCGAGCGAACGGACGAGAAGCUUGCUUCUCUGAUGUUAGCGGCGGACGGGUGAGUAACACGUGGAUAACCUACCUAUAAGACUGGGAUAACUUCGGGAAACCGUAGCUAAUACCGGAUAAUAUUUUGAACAGCAUGGUUCAAAAGUGAAAGACGGUCUUGCUGUCACUUAUAGAUGGAUCCGCGCUGCAUUAGCUAGUUGGUAAGGUAACGGCUUACCAAGGCAACGAUGCAUAGCCGACCUGAGAGGGUGAUCGGCCACACUGGAACUGAGACACGGUCCAGACUCCUACGGGAGGCAGCAGUGGGGAAUCUUCGGCAAUGGGCGAAAGCCUGACGGAGCAACGCCGCGUGAGUGAUGAAGGUCUUCGGAUCGUAAAACUCUGUUAUUAGGGAAGAACAUAUGUGUAAGUAACUGUGCACAUCUUGACGGUACCUAAUCAGAAAGCCACGGCUAACUACGUG
rnacentral:rRNA from 1 species